AUCCUUUUGUAGUUCAGAAGCCUGAGGAUUAGAUUUUCAUACGCCUGUGUGAGCUGUGCCUCCCUCAAACCUUAUUACGAUGUCAGCACAUUGCCCAUCUAACA